UGCUUUACCUACUGAGCCAGCUUGUGGGCCUUAAACCCUUUGAGAAAUUGAUCUUUGUCCCGUGUUUUGUCUUAGCACAAAGAAAAGAAAUUGUCACACAGACUCAUGGCACCCUCUUUGUUUCCAGGUCAACGAUGUGGUUGCACUCUCUGUGGAGGAGGACGGCUGGUAUCAGCCCUCUGCACCUUGUUGUGUUCCUGCUGACAAAGUGAAUUCUGCCUCCAAAGGGAAGAGGUACUCCAGCAUCAGCACCCGGCUGUCCUCUGGUUCAUCUGCUGCCACACAUGACCUUCAUAUUUAAGUAGAGUGAGUCUGACCUCCAUAGGUAAUGGGAUAAAGGGAAUCUC
rnacentral:lncRNA from 1 species